rnacentral:rRNA from 1 species
CAGCCGCCACGGUAAUACGAAGGGUGCAAGCGUUACUCGGAAUUACUGGGCGUAAAGCGUGCGUAGGUGGUGGUUUAAGUCCGUUGUGAAAGCCCUGGGCUCAACCUGGGAAUUGCAGUGGAUACUGGGUCACUAGAGUGUGGUAGAGGAUAGUGGAAUUUCCGGUGUAGCAGUGAAAUGCGUAGAUAUCGGAAGGAACAUCUGUGGCGAAGGCGACUAUCUGGGCCAACACUGACACUGAGGCACGAAAGCGUGGGGAGCAAACAGGAUUAGAUACCCGAGUAGUCCCUGUCUCUUAUAC